UACGAAGGGGCUAGCGUUGCUCGGAAUCACUGGGCGUAAAGCGCACGUAGGCGGAUUGUUAAGUCAGGGGUGAAAUCCUGGAGCUCAACUCCAGAACUGCCUUUGAUACUGGCGAUCUUGAGUCCGGGAGAGGUGAGUGGAACUCCGAGUGUAGAGGUGAAAUUCGUAGAUAUUCGGAAGAACACCAGUGGCGAAGGCGGCUCACUGGCCCGGUACUGACGCUGAUGUGCGAAAGCGUGGGAGCAAACAGG
rnacentral:rRNA from 1 species